rnacentral:rRNA from 1 species
GAUGAACGCUGGCGGCGUGCCUAAUACAUGCAAGUCGAGCGAACAGACGAGGAGCUUGCUCCUCUGACGUUAGCGGCGGACGUGUGAGUAACACGUGGAUACCCUACCUAUAAGACUGGGAUAACUUCGGGACACCGGAGCUAAUACCGGAUAAUAUAUUGAACCGCAUGGUUCAAUAGUGAAAGACGGUUUUGCUGUCACUUAUAGAUGGAUCCGCGCCGCAUUAGCUAGUUGGUAAGGUAACGGCUUACCAAGGCAACGAUGCGUAGCCGACCUGAGGGGGUGAUCGGCCACACGGGAACUGAGACACGGUCCAGACUCCUAAGGGAGGCAGCAGUAGGGAAUCUGCCGCAAUGGGCGAAAGCCUGACGGAGCAACGCCGCGUGAGUGAUGAAGGUCUUCGGAUCGUAAAACUCUGUUAUUAGGGAAGAACAAAUGUGUAAGUAACUAUGCACGUAUUGACGGUACCCAAUCAGAAAGCCACGGCUAACUACGUG